rnacentral:rRNA from 1 species
ACUGCGAAGGGGGGACGGAGAAGGCUAUGUUGGCCGGGCGACGGUUGUCCCGGUUUAAGCGUGUAGGCUGGUUUUCCAGGCAAAUCCGGAAAAUCAAGGCUGAGGCGUGAUGACGAGGCACUACGGUGCUGAAGCAACAAAUGCCCUGCUUCCAGGAAAAGCCUCUAAGCAUCAGGUAACAUCAAAUCGUACCCCAAACCGACACAGGUGGUCAGGUAGAGAAUACCAAGGCGCUUGAGAGAACUCGGGUGAAGGAACUAGGCAAAAUGGUGCCGUAACUUCGGGAGAAGGCACGCUGAUAUGUAGGUGAAGUCCCUCGCGGAUGGAGCUGAAAUCAGUCGAAGAUACCAGCUGGCUGCAACUGUUUAUUAAAAACACAGCACUGUGCAAACACGAAAGUGGACGUAUACGGUGUGACGCCUGCCCGGUGCCGGAAGGUUAAUUGAUGGGGUUAGCGCAAGCGAAGCUCUUGAUCGAAGCCCCGGUAAACGGCGGCCGUAACUAUAACGGUCCUAAGGUAGCGAAAUUCCUUGUCGGGUAAGUUCCGACCUGCACGAAUGGCGUAAUGAUGGCCAGGCUGUCUCCACCCGAGACUCAGUGAAAUUGAACUCGCUGUGAAGAUGCAGUGUACCCGCGGCAAGACGGAAAGACCCCGUGAACCUUUACUAUAGCUUGACACUGAACAUUGAGCCUUGAUGUGUAGGAUAGGUGGGAGGCUUUGAAGUGUGGACGCCAGUCUGCAUGGAGCCGACCUUGAAAUACCACCCUUUAAUGUUUGAUGUUCUAACGUUGACCCGUGAUCCGGGUUGCGGACAGUGUCUGGUGGGUAGUUUGACUGGGGCGGUCUCCUCCUAAAGAGUAACGGAGGAGCACGAAGGUUGGCUAAUCCUGGUCGGACAUCAGGAGGUUAGUGCAAUGGCAUAAGCCAGCUUGACUGCGAGCGUGACGGCGCGAGCAGGUGCGAAAGCAGGUCAUAGUGAUCCGGUGGUUCUGAAUGGAAGGGCCAUCGCUCAACGGAUAAAAGGUACUCCGGGGAUAACAGGCUGAUACCGCCCAAGAGUUCAUAUCGACGGCGGUGUUUGGCACCUCGAUGUCGGCUCAUCACAUCCUGGGGCUGAAGUAGGUCCCAAGGGUAUGGCUGUUCGCCAUUUAAAGUGGUACGCGAGCUGGGUUUAGAACGUCGUGAGACAGUUCGGUCCCUAUCUGCCGUGGGCGCUGGAGAACUGAGGGGGGCUGCUCCUAGUACGAGAGGACCGGAGUGGACGCAUCACUGGUGUUCGGGUUGUCAUGCCAAUGGCACUGCCCGGUAGCUAAAUGCGGAAGAGAUAAGUGCUGAAAGCAUCUAAGCACGAAACUUGCCCCGAGAUGAGUUCUCCCUGACUCCUUGAGAGUCCUGAAGGAACGUUGAAGACGACGACGUUGAUAGGCCGGGUGUGUAAGCGCAGCGAUGCGUUGAGCUAACCGGUACUAAUGAACCGUGAGGCUUAACCUUACAACGCCGAAG